GGAACACCAAAGGCGAAGGCAUUCUGCUGGGACGUUCCUGACCCUGAGUCGCGAAAGCGUGGGCAGAAAAAAGGAUUAGAUACCCUUGUAUUCCACGCCGUAAACUAUGUCUACUAGCUGUUUCGAGUGUCGACCCUCGGAGUGGCGAAGCUAACGCGUUAAGUGGACCGCCUGGGAAGUACGGCCGCAAGGCUAAAACUCAAAGGAAUAGACGGGGACUCGCACAAGCGGUGGAGCAUGAGGUUUAAUUCGAUGGUAAACGAGGAACCUUACCAGGGCUUGAAAUGCAUACGAACCUCGAUGGAAACGUCGGGGGUCCGCAAGGACGUAUGCACAGGUGCUGCAUGGUUG
rnacentral:rRNA from 1 species